GGUCAGGAGUGCUGCCCGUACUGCGGUUACAGGACCAAUCGCAAGUGGAACUUGAAGACGCAUAUAAGGAGGAUUCACACGAAUGAACGGCUGCUUCCGGAACAUUUGUUUUCGAAAUGAUACAAUCAGAACCGUUCCCUUCAGAAACGAUCGACUCAGAAACAAGCAAUUCAAGAAGGUCCACAUCUGACACGUUUAUCUCGGAAACGCUAAAAAUAGAAUCGCCUGCUUCAGAAAUGAUCUUCAUGUCUGAUUUAGAAAUGACCGACUUAGAAACGAUCGAUUCCAGAAAGUCCGUUUUUAGGACGCCCGCUCCUGGAACAUCCGCUUCUGAAACGCGUUUUCCAAGUGAAAUGGCACCUUCAGGAACGCUUGCUUCAAUAAUGCCCGUCUUCGAGACGGUAAAAUUAGAACCGUACGAAACGGCUGACUCAGAAACGAUUUACUCAGAAUUGCCCAUUUAUGACACGCCUGGCUCAGAAAUGCUCGUUUUCGAAACGAUAAAAUUAGAACCGCCCGCUUCAGAAACGUCUGAUUCAGAGACGGCCGACUCAAAAACAGUCUAUUCAGGAAGAUCCGUGUCUGGAACGCCUGAUCCUGGAACGUCUGCUUCUGAAAUACGUGCUUCCGAAAUCUGGUCUCGAAAUGGGAAGCCACACCUUUCGAAAAAUCUGAUGGAGGCCCUCGAUGCCAUCAGCCACGGAAUGUCUCUGAGGAAAGCCGAGCAGAUACACUAUAUCCAGAUCGACUUUACAUCGAUUAAGCAAAGAGCUUAUACCCGAAUCUAUGCGGAGGACCCGCCCGAUGAAAAAGAAAAAACGCGUACCGAAACAUUUGAUGGAGGCCUUCGAUGCCAUCAUCCAUGGGAUGACUCUGACGAAAGCUGCGGAGACAUAUUUUAUAUCCAAAUCAACUUUACGAUAUUACAGCAAAGAUCUCCUCGAUUCAAUAAAGAGGAGGGCUCAAUGUAAAAUAUAUACGCGAUGGUUUAGUGAACGAUAUGGGGCGUUUCUUUAGCUUCGGGAUAAGAAGUUUAUUUUCUUGAAGAAAUAAUUCGCAUCGAAAGCGCUGUUCUGUACUCUUCGUAAUCCUACAAACAUUUUAAAUUUGACA